rnacentral:rRNA from 1 species
GACGAACGCUGGCGGCGUGCUUAACACAUGCAAGUGGAGCGACGAACCAGGGCUUGCCCUGGGGCAGAGCCGCGAACGGGUGAGUAACACGUGGGUAACGUGCCCCGAUGAUCGGGGACAACCCGGGGAAACCCGGGCUAACUACCGAAUGUGCUCCCCUCACACCACGUGAGGGAGUGGAAAGGAAGCUUCGGCCUCCGCAUCGGGAGUCGGCCCGCGGCCC